rnacentral:rRNA from 1 species
CAGCAGCCGCGGUAAUACGUAGGUCCCGAGCGCUGUCCGGAUUUAUUGGGCGUAAAGCGAGCGCAGGCGGUUAGAUAAGUCUGAAGUUAAAGGCUGUGGCUUAACCAUAGUAUGCUUUGGAAACUGUUUAACUUGAGUGCAGAAGGGGAGAGUGGAAUUCCAUGUGUAGCGGUGAAAUGCGUAGAUAUAUGGAGGAACACCGGUGGCGAAAGCGGCUCUCUGGUCUGUAACUGACGCUGAGGCUCGAAAGCGUGGGGAGCAAACAGGAUUAGAGACCCGAGUAGUCCCUGUCUCUUAUACA